GCCAACUUUCCUCCCAAUUUUUUGAACCCCAUUGUGAUGAGGAUUUACAAGUUGUCACCGAUACUUUUCAUGUUGACGAGUUGAUCAUUAACAUUAACAGCAAAUAAUUGCAACAAUUUUGUCUAAGUCCAAAACAACGUCGUUUAGUAACACCAACAAUGUGAAAAUCCCCAAAUAUUUUCCAAGUCUAGAUUUCCAUUUCACUUACCCCCCGUGCCCAACUUCACUCUUCGUAAUGUACCUCCUCUAAAUCUCUCUCUCUCCCUCUUGAUCUUCUUCUCUACUCCUAACCUUGGUCUCUUGCUCGCCGUCUUCCUCUCGAUCUCUAUCCAACCUAACCCCCUUCUCCCUCUUUCUCUGGAUCUUGGUUUUAUUGCCAAGAGCCCCAUAUUGGAAGGAUGAGAGGCAAUUCCAAGGCUUACAUUGUGAGCAACUAUAAGCUUCUUGAAGAGGUCGGAUAUGUUGCCAGCGCUACGGGUUACAGAGCAAUCUAUCUUCCUUCCAAUGAAGCUGUCGACGUCAAGUACUUGGAUCUAGAUCACCCUAAUAGUAAUCUAGUUACCUGCUUAUUAUCAUUAUUUUCUUUUUCUCUCUCUAUAAUUAUUGUUUUUUUUUUUUAUAAUCAGAAUUUUACAUUUUGAUUCAAAAUUUUGACUUUAGCUAGAUCUUGUUUUUGUUUUGGAAUUGGAUAUUUUAGAAGUCUAAUUCACUUUGAUUUGUUUGGUUCCCAUUCAGUUUGCAUAGGGGCAUGGGCUCAUUUAUCUUGGCAUGUUUAUGUCUAAGAUCUUUAAUCAUUAUUCAAUGUUUGAACUAGUUUAUGUACUUAUUUAUUUUCUGCUCUGGCCUCUAAGGAGUUUGAGGUAAUUGUAUUCAGGCACAUGGGAUGGGAAAUUUUGGGUGUGAAAGAUAAUGAGGAUUAUUGAAGGUCGUUGUAUGGUGAAAUUACUCACAAGGCUUUGCCUUUUGAUGUUGUUGGCACUCUUCUUGUUCACAAGGCUUAACUUUUCGUACUCUUUUAUCUUUUUAUUUUUUUAUUGAGAUUAUAUCUUCUUCACAAUUUUUUUUUUUUUGGGUAAUGUAAUUAUAUGCUCAGUGUUUAUUUGAUGUUUAUGUAGCUAUUGAAGGAGCAUUUAAGGCAAUAAGGAACCGGUAGUUGGAUUUCUAAGUAUGUGAGGCUCAUAUUAUAUUUUUCUUUACUUAUAUUUUUCUUUAUGUAUCUUAGUUGGAAACACAAACUAUCAUGUUUUAAUGUUUGAGUUAGCAUGUACAGCUUAAACUAUCAAGUUUGAAUGUUUGAGUUAGCAUGUACAGCUGUAUUAAUACUAUAUAAUUAUAUUCCAUUAUUUAGAUAGGAAUUAAUUUAUUAGAAUUAUUGUUUAAUUGACUUUUCCUAUAGUAGGUUAUGAGUAUUCUAUAUUAAUACCCUUUGUGAUAUAUGGAAUUUAUCAAGUGAAUUUAUCAAUUUGGCAUCAAAGCAAAAGAAAAAAAUUCCACUGUUGUUUUUUCUGUCUUUAUUUGCUUUUCUAUUUUCUACCUAUUCCAUAGCCACUAUGUCUACAAAGCUUGACUCAGAAAUUCCUCAAAGCCAACAGUCCACCAACAUGACCAUUCAUGAGACUUCUUCUUCAAUCCAUACUAAACCGGAUGGUUAUCGUGUUUAGUCCCAAGUUUUGGAGAUGCACAUUGUUGGAAGGAAAAAGAAGGGCUCAUUAUAGGGAGAAAGACUACACCUAAAGAGGGUGAUCCAAGCUAUGAUGAGUUGGAGGCUGAAGAUGCUCUUUUGAAGUCUUGUUUAAUUAAUUCCAUAAGUGAUAAACUAAUGUCCCAUUUUGUACAGCGUGGAACGGCUAAGGAUGCUUGGAAAACAGUAAGGAGGAGCUAUCUUGACAUCUCCAAUUCUUCUCAAGUCUAUGAAUUGAUGAAGAAGUUCUUUCAAUUAGAACAAGAUGGUCAGCCUGUUGCAGAAUAAUAUAAUGAUUUGAACUCAAUAUUUAUGGAACUUGCUUAUCGGAGACCCAACAAUAUCACAUGUCCAACAGAUAUUGAUAAACAAAGGAAACGUAUUGCUGAGGAUCGAGUCUAUAUGUUUCUUGGGGGCCUUAAUCACAAUUUAGAUCACGUUAGUAGUCGGGUUAUGGCUACUUCUCCUUUGCCAAGUCUAAAAGAGACAUAUUCAAUGGUUCGGUGUGAAGAGUAGAGAUAGCUCACCAUGAGAGCGAAAGAUCACUUUAAAGGUUCAACCCUAGCUGUCCAAAAGAAUAACACUCGACCAAUACCACAUGUUUCUUCUUCCAAUUCCUUUUCUCAUUUUUGCACUCAUUGUAAUAGCACCAGGCAUACUGAAGAUUUUUGCUGGAAGAAGCAUGGCUAUCUGGAGUGGUAAAAACUUAAGCAAGCUAAAAAGUGAAAAAAGAAAUUUGCUCAGGUUGCUUUCAUAGAUACCUCUCCAUCUUCUGCUUCUCGUAUGACUCUGAGUGUCUUCUAGGGAAGAAAUUCUGGUUUGGCCUUAUUUUUGCUGCUGAUAAGAAUUGAAUUAUUAUUUAUGGGCCACUGAUCAUAUGAUUAAUGAUUCUUUUUUACUUGACUCACUAAUGCCUUCAUUGAUCAAGUCUGUCCAAGUUGCUCAUGAGACUCCUAUUCCAAUCUCAGGGGAACGGAAUAUCUCACUAUCACCAUUGGUUUCCAUGUGUUAUUAUUAUACUUGUGCCUAAUCUUUCAAAUAAUCUCGUUUCGAUUAGCAAGAUCACCAAAUAUCUUAAUUGUUCUGUAACCUUUCAUUCAACUCAUUGUGUAUUUCAGGACAAUCUUACGAAGAUGACAUUGGCAUUGGUAAGGAAAGGGGAGGUCUUUGCUAUUUGGAGGGGACAAGACACUUACCAUCUGAACAUGGACAUGGUUUUCAAGUAGCACGAGGGAUGUCUGAUAAAGUUACUCCUCAGAAAAAUCACCAGAGAGAUUGAACAUUUUCCCUAAAAAAUAAAGACCUAGAAGACAACAACCUAAUCCUAAGAGAAAUGAUGGAGGUGAAGCAACAUAGCUCGACAGCUCGGCAUCAACAUAGCUCUGUAACAGCAGCUCGGCAGCAACACAGUAGCUCGGCAACAGCAGCUUGGCAGCAACACAGCAAGCUCGACAGCAGCAACAACAAGCUCGGUAGCACCCGCAGUAGCACCAGCAGCAAUACAGCAGCACCAGCAACAACACCAGCAACAACAAUGCCAUACUAGCAGCAACAUAGCAUUGCAUGUGCCAAGGUUCACAUGACCCAAAUAAAAAACACACCAUUUUGAUCUUUCUAGAAUAAUUGUUUAAAACGCACCGUUUUCAUUUUUAGGUUUAUAUAUGUAAUAGUUUCCAUCUUUCAAGUAGACAAUUUUUAUCUUCUUCAAUAUAUGAAAUAGCUUGAUGAACAAGCUGAGCUUCCAGCUUCCUUUGCUGGUUGUUUGUAAAUGAUAAAUUCAUUUUUCUUGUUUAAUUGAAAGCUUCUACAUCAAAUUGGUAUCAGAGCUGGGAGAUCGUCGGGAAUCCUGUUAUGGCCAAUUCUAAUGAAGGUAGCAGCUGUACCAAUGGAGAAGACCAGGGUACGAAAGCCAUUUUGGUAGCCAUCCGAGGUGUGGAGCAGCAGAUCGAGAAUCUUGCCUUAGUCAUCCAACAAUCCUUGCUUCAACAAACUUCACCACCACCUUUAACACCACCGGUUGCUGGAGCGAGAGAGCGAGAGCUAGCUUGCCACCCACCGGCACCAAUUCGGACCCAAAACACCCAGCCACGGCCAGAUUUUUCCUUGGCAAUAAAUCCACCACCACCAUCUCACUCUCUGCGAAAUUUUUACCCUAACCAGCUCCCAUUGCCGAACACCAACUCAGAUGAUGACAUUGAGGCAACUCUCUUUAACCAACCACGACGUAGGCUUGGAUAUCAUUUCCCUAACCACCAUUUUGGACAGUCAGGAUCUCCACCCAGGUAUGAUCAACAUUGAGAUACGGCUUAUAAAAUUAAAAUUGAUCUGCCUAUGUCUGAUGGCCAAAUUGUUAUAGAAAGCUUCUUAGAUUGGAUUCAAAAUGUUGAGUCAUUCUUAGACUACAUGUAUAUCACCAGAGCACAACAGGUCAAAUUGGUGGCUUAUAAGCUUAAGGGUAGUGUUCUGCUUGGUGGGAGCAAUUGCAAGCCAACAGAAGGAAAGAAGGAAAGGAACCUAUUAGAUCUUGGCACCGAAUGAAGCAAUUGCUCAAGGCACGGUUCUUGCCAGAGGAUUAUGACUAAUUGCUUUAUGAACAGUACCAUAGUUUCCACCAAGGUAAUAGAACUGUGAAUGACUACACUACUAAAUUCUUUUGUUUGAGCUCCCGUAAUAACUUGCAAGAGACAGAACGUUAAGAAAUGGCUCGAUAUAUCCAUGGGCUUCAAAAACUAAUUAGAGAGAAGCUCCAUUUAAGCCCCAUUGCUAACUUUAAUGCAGCUGUGAAUUUAGCAAACAGAGUAGAGAGGCAACUGUCAGUCCCGGAUUCAGCUACCUGACCUCCCCACAAAUGGAAACCUCUAUCAGACUUCUACUUCGAUAAACCAAGACCAUAUCAACAGCACCAUAAAUCAACCAAUUUCACUUCAUAUCCUACCCAUACCAACUCCAAACAACCACACGAAUAGAACACCAAAGCUGCAGGGAAAGUACCACUAUUCCAACCCAAUUACAACCAACCUUCAAGACCAUCCAAUCAUCCCACAAAUGCCAAUCCUUAUGCAUGCCCAUACCCAAUCAAAUGUUUUAAAUGCAAUCAAUUGGGACAUAGGUCCAAUGAGUGUUCUCAACGGAAAUUGAUGCAUAUGCAUGAGGAAUUGGAAGAAAUUGGUGACGAAGGGGAUGAAAUGGGUGCUGAAUUUGUAGAAGCAAUUGAUGAGAUUAGUGGGGAUGACAUUGGGGGAGAGCUUGUGAUAUGCAUAUUGCAGAAAAUGCUCUAUUUAGCCAAGAAGAUCACGUCUAUCUAACGGCAUUCACUCUUCAAAACCAAGUGCACCAUCAAUGGCAAAGUGUGUGAAGUAAUCAUAGAUGGAGGUAGCACCGAGAAUGUUGUUUCAAAAGCAUUAGUUAAUGCUUUACAAUUACCCACUAAGCCUCAUCCUGAACCUUACAAUAUUGGUUGGGUUAAGCAAGACUCCAAAAUUCAGGUAACCGAAAUAAGCAAUGUCACAUUUUCUAUUGGCAGCAACUAUAUUAAUACUAUUAAGUGUGACAUAAUUCGGAUGGAUGCUUGCCACAUACUAUUGGGGAGACCAUGGCUUUUUGACCGAAAUGUACAGCACAAUGGGAGGCAAAAACAUAUUCAUUCAUUUGGCAUAAUAAGAAAAUUGUCCUCUUACCACCAACCCCACCAGGAAUAGGUCCACACAAAACUUCCAGAGAUAAGCUGUGACACCCACAUCAAAACUUAUGUGGCCAACUUAACACUCCCAGUGCUACACAAGAUUCCUCACAGUACAACCACUCUCAUGCUUUAAUUGCCCUUAUUCUUAAGGAUGCAGAGAUGACAGAGAGUAACAUUACUAUUCCACCAACCAUUCAACCACUCCUUGAAGAAUAUAGUCACCUCUCACCAACUGAACUUCUAAAUGAAUUACCUCCUUUCUGUGAUCUACAACAUAAUAUUGACUUACGUCCUGGUGCAAGUCUUCCAAAUUUGCCCCAUUACCGAAUGAGUCCCACAGAACAUGCAAUCUUGCAAGGUAUAGUAGAUGAGCUCUUUUCAAAGAACUUGAUACAUCCAAGCCUUGGUCCAUGUACCGUUCCAGCCUUCUUGGUCCUAAAGAAAGACAAAACAUGGCGUAUGUGUGUGGACAGCCGAGCCAUUAACAAAAUCACCAUUAAAUAUAGGUUCCCAAUUCCACGGUUAGAAGGUAUACUGGACAAACUUGAAGGCUCUAACAUCUUCUCCAGAUUGGACCUCAGAAGUGGCUACCACUAGAUUAAAAUCCAACUAGGGGAUGAGUGGAAGACUGCAUUCAAAACCCGAGAAGGAUUGUAUGAGUGGUAACUAAUGCCGUUUGGCCUUUGCAAUGCUUUAAGUACAUUCAUGAGACUCAUGAACCAAAUUCUCAAACCUUUUAUUGGCCAAUUUGUGGUGGUAUACUUUGAUGACAUUUUGGUGUUUAGCAAAUCCAAAGAAGACCACUUAACUUAUCUAAGAAAGGUUCUACAAGUGCUGAGGGAGAAUAAGCUAUACCUUAGCAUUCACAAGUGUGAGUUUGCCACUAACUGACUUCUUUUUCUAGGUUUCAUUAUCAGCAAGGAAGGGAUCCAUACCGAUCCCAAGAAGAUACAAGUGAUAACUGAUUGGCCUCCACCUAAGAAUGUCACCGAAUUAAAAAGUUUUCAUGGCUUUGCCACUUUCUAUCGAAGGUUUAUUAAGAAUUUUAGUGAAAUAGCUGCACCAUUAACAACAAGUUUUAAGAAGGAUGAUUUCAAAUGGGGACAACCAUAACAAGACAGCUUUGAACUUUUGAAGAAUAAACUCACCAAUGCACCAGUCCUAGUAUUGUCAAAUUUUGACAAAGUGUUUAAAGUUGACACCGAUGAAUCCAAGGUAGGAAUUGGAGCUGUCCUCACUCAAGAAGGCCGACCAAUUGAGUUCUUUAGUGAAAAACUUUGUCCAGCCCAGCAGAAAUGGUCCACCUAUGAACAAAAGCUCUAUGCUGUCAUUCGUGCUUUUGAUCAUUGGCAACACUACCUUAUUCAAAAGGAUUUCAUUCUCCGUAGUGAUCAUCACCCUCUUAAAUAUCUCAAUUCACAAAAAAAACUCAAUGACCUACAUGCUCAUUGGCUUGAGUUUCUUCAAUAAUUCCACUACACCUUCAACCACAAAACUGGACGUCAUAAUACUGUAGUGGUGCGUUGAGCCGAAGGUAUUCACUCCUCACCAUUUUGAAAUUAAACCUCCAAGAUUUCAGCUACCUCAAGAAAUUGUAUGCUAAAGAUGAAGAUUUUUCUUUCAUAUGGGACCAAUGCCAACUCCACCACAACAUGGAUGAUUAUCAUAUUCUAAAUGGCUAUCUCUUCAAAGGUAACCAAUUGUGUAUUCCUAAGACAUCACUAUGAGAGUUGAUAAUGAAUGAUCUUCAUUCGGGUGGCUUGGUUGCACAUGCUGGACGUGAUAAGACCACAUUGGCUAUCACCCAACGCUUCUUUUGGCCUAAAAUGACUGCCCAAAUAGCCUCUUUUGUUACCUGUUGUCCCACCUGCCAAAUUGCCAAAGGGCAUACCCAAAACACUGGUUUGUAUACUCCUCCGCCAACUUCUGUUACAAUUUGGGAGGAUCUUUCUAUGGACGUCAUCCUUGGCCUUCCAAUGAUUGUCAGACGAGUUGAUUCCAUUUUUGUAGUCGUUGAUCGCUUUUCCAAAAUGGCUUACUUUCUUCCCUGUAAGAAAGCCUUAGAUGCAAGCUUUGUAGCUCACUUAUUCUUCCGGGAGGUGGUCCAUUUACAUGGCAUUCCAAAAACCAUCACUUCUGAUAGAGAUGUCAAAUUUGUCAACCAUUUUUGGAAAGUUUUAUGGAAGAAAUUUGAUACCAAGUUGCAGUAUAGCAGUCCUUACCGUCCCCAAAUCGAUGGCUAAACUGAAGUUGUCAACUGUACACUUGGUACCAUGUUUCGUAGUCUAGCUUUAGACAAACCAAAACAGUGGGACUCUCUCCUUCCACAGGUUGAAUUUGCCUAUAAUAGCAUGGUUAAUCGUUCCACCAGUCAUCCGCCUUUUGCCAUUGUGUAUACAAAGAUACCCAACAAUACCGUUGACCUCAUUUCACUCCCUAUGUCAACUCAUUAAGGAGCUGCCACCUUUACUAAAAAUUAUACCCAUUUUCAUAAAGAGAUUCAACAUAAAAUUGAGAAAGCCAACCUUAAAUAUAAGGCAUCCGCGGAUGCCCAUCGUCACCACAAAACUUAUGCUGAAGGUGAUUUAGUCAUGGUUUACCUGCGAAAGGAACAUUUCCCUCCGGUACAUACAACAAACUGAAACCUCGCAAACUUGGUCCUUUUGUCAUCUCCAAAUGUGUUGGGCCAAAUGCUUAUCACCUUGAUUUACCUGAAGAUCUCCACAUCUCUCCUGUGUUCAACGUUGCUGAUCUCCAUCCAUAUCUUCCUCAAGAUGCUUCUCCUACUCUUUCUUUACAACUCGAGGAUGACUUUCCUGACACCGGGAAGGAGUUGAUGGAGGUGCAGCAACAUAGCUCGACAGCAACAUAGCUCGGCGGCAGCAACAUAACUCGGCAUCAACACAGUAGCUCGAUAGCAACACAGCAAGCUCAGCAGCAGCAACAACAAGCUCGGCAGCACCAGCAGUAAUACAGCAGCACCAGCAACAACACUAACAGCAACAAUGCAGCACUAGUAGCAACAUUGCAUUGCAUGUGCCAAGGUUCACGUGACCCAAAUCAAAAACACACCAUUUUGAUCUUUCUAGGAUAAUUGUUUAAAACAUACCAUUUUCAUUUUUAGGUUUAUAUAUGUAAUAGUUUUCCAUCUUUCGAGUAGACAAUUUUUAUCUUCUUCAACAUAUGAAAUAGCUAGGUGACUAAGCUGAGUUUCUAAUAGCUUCCUUUGCUGGUUGUUUGUGAAUGAUAAAUUCAUUUUUCUUGUUUAAUUGAAAGCUUCUACAUCAAGAAAGCUGGCAUCUUGCAGCUAAAACAUUUUUCCUAAUGACAAUAGCUAGAGCUAGACAUUCCCACUUCCACAAGGAAAACCAACAUUCCGGCAUCACUAAUGCUCUCGAUCACCUUUUCAGAAUUGCCAACAUAUUUCUUGCUAGUGCCAACUAUCAAUAAUUGAGUCAUCAUUGGAAAUUACACAACUACCAAUUUAUCCAUGCAUGCCAAAAGUUAAUUUAUUAAGGGACAUUUUACACUGAAACAAGUUGAAUCCAAAAUAUACUAUGAUAUGAAUUGAAGGAAACAGAAAGAUUUUCAAAAAGUUGUAUCCUUGAACACUUGCUAUCACUUUUUCUUAUUUUAAAGGAAAGCCAAAAAUACAAUUAUAUUUAUCAGAUAUAUGUAUAUAUAUAUAUAUAUACACACACUAAUAGUUUACACCAAAAGUGAGGAUGUAGAAGAAUGCAGUAAGGUGUUAAAAGAAAAGUGUCAGCCCCAAAACACAAUACAUAAAGGCUCAUUUUCUUACUGAAGAUUACGUAUACUAGGUAAGCUUUGAACCUAAAACCUCUAUGCAAGCCCACACAAAAACCAUCAUAAACGCCUCCAACCACAUUCCAAAUUUACAUUUUUAAAUGAUACAAAAAAAAAAUUAAAAAAAAAAAUCAAUUUAGCUAUCUGAAGACCAAUUCAUGUGAUACUAAACCAGGAGUAUCCCUCGAUAGAGGCAUCUCCUCUAUUCGAGAAGAAAAAUUCAAUACACAGGUUAACUUCACAUGCUUUUGAAAAAGACAUACCAACCAUAACACUGUUGUUUCGAAAUCCCUGCUGACAAUUGCCAUUAAGCAUCGGAAGACAACUGGCAUAAGAUUUGGUGCAAACACACAACUAAAUGCACUUUUAGAAGCAUUUAAACUAGUGCCACCAUUAAUAAUGCCACCUGAAACAUAUAAUCUCCAAAAAUGCUACCGCAAGAAGAUAUGCAUAACUUUAACACUUGCAAAACAUUGGAAAGUAAUAUUCCCAACAUCAAAUGAGAACACGGAAGUCCAACAAAGAGAUUAUAUUUCAAUGUAUGUGGAAAGUGAACUCCAGCAGCUAAAGUGUAAAACCACAUUUUUUUGCAAUAUCAAAAACUAGGUAGUGUGAAUUUGGUAAAUACUAAACAAUCAUUGAGCUUAAAAAGAAGACAUUUGAUUCACCAUUAAAUUUUAUGAAGUUAAAUAACCUGAAAUUGUACAGCAGCUUUCUCAUUGCCACUUCCACGACGGCUACCAGGGUUAUGAAGAGCAUUGAGUUCCAACUCAUCAUCAAGCCAUUUCACAAAACUAACAACUUGAGGGCCACAUAUUGUCAUAAAAUUUCACUUGAAUGAUAAAAUACUCAGCAGACCAAUUCCAACCAUACACGAAUGCAAUUGGCCAGAGUUCAUAUGGACAAUCUAAAAGGUUGCCUAAUCUGAGGAAAUGCAUGGGGAAGGGAAGAACCUUAGAAGUACAACCCUUAUUCCACUUGACAUUAGGCAUGGUAAUCAAUCACAUCAAAGGCUUUUGGAGAUGACCAUUUCCCAUAACUCUUAGAUAUUUCUUUUUGGAAAUGAACAUUGAACAGGUUGGAUGCUAUUGUCUUUUAGUGAAAAAAACAAUUGGAACAAUGGAAUCAAUUGGCAUAAAUAUCAAGCAAUACUUUGAAAAUAGCAAUAUAUUGCUGAUUGAUAUGCGUAUAUCAAAUAAAGCAUUUAUCUUGCUAGUAAAUCAUGAGAUGAUAUUGAAAAUUGCUUUGACUCGUAAAUUUUGCACCUGCCAGUUACAAGUAUCAUGUGCAGUUACAAUUCAUACUACUACUACAAGUAAAUUUGUUUAGUGAAAACACACUACAAUUUAUAUAGUUCCA